rnacentral:rRNA from 1 species
CCUACGGGGGGCUGCAGUGGGGAAUAUUGGACAAUGGGGGGAACCCUGAUCCAGCCAUGCCGCGUGUGUGAAGAAGGCCCUCGGGUUGUAAAGCACUUUCAGUGAGGAAGAACGCCUGGUGGUUAAUACCCAUCAGGAAAGACAUCACUCACAGAAGAAGCACCGGCUAACUCCGUGCCAGCAGCCGCGGUAAUACGGAGGGUGCGAGCGUUAAUCGGAAUUACUGGGCGUAAAGCGCGCGUAGGUGGCUUGAUAAGCCGGUUGUGAAAGCCCCGGGCUCAACCUGGGAACGGCAUCCGGAACUGUCAAGCUAGAGUGAAGGAGAGGAAGGUAGAAUUCCCGGUGUAGCGGUGAAAUGCGUAGAGAUCGGGAGGAAUACCAGUGGCGAAGGCGGCCUUCUGGACUGACACUGACACUGAGGUGCGAAAGCGUGGGUAGCAAACAGGAUUAGAUACCCCAGUAGUC